UGAGAGGAGUUGAGAUGGACACGUC
rnacentral:piRNA from 1 species